rnacentral:rRNA from 1 species
GAUGAACGCUAGCUACAGGCUUAACACAUGCAAGUCGAGGGGCAGCACAGUGUAGCAAUACAUGGGUGGCGACCGGCGCACGGGUGCGUAACGCGUAUCCAACCUUCCCGUUACUCAGGGAUAGCCUUCCGAAAGGGAGAUUAAUACCUGAUGGUGUUCAAAUUCCGCAUGUUAUUUGAACUAAAGAUUUAUCGGUAACGGAUGGGGAUGCGUGACAUUAGGUAGAUGGCGGGGUAACGGCCCACCAUGCCUACGAUGUCUAGGGGUUCUGGGAGGAAGGUCCCCCACACUGGAACUGAGACACGGUCCAGACUCCUACGGGAGGCAGCAGUGAUGAAUAUUUGUCAAUGGCCGGAAGGCUGAACCAGCCACGUAGCGUGAAGGAUGAAGGUUCUAUGGAUUGUAAACUUCUUUUAUACGGGAAUAAAACCUCCCACGUGUGGGAGCUUGUAUGUACCGUAUGAAUAAGCAUCGGCUAACUCCGUGCCAGCCGCCGCGGUAAGAC